rnacentral:lncRNA from 1 species
AUAUAAGUUUAUUAUUAUAUUUUGAAUCAAUAUAUACUUAAAAAAAAUUUUUGGUUUAAAUUUUAACACACUAAGUAACAAGAGAUAAAGUCCACAAAAACAAAAGCUCUUUAGUAUCCUGAAUAACUUUUAAGAGUGUCAGGGGCUCCUAAGACUAAAUUGUCUGAGAAAUGCUGACCUAGUGCCUCAUUAAGGUAGGUUCGUCUUUGGUAUUAAAAGAGCCUGCCUUAUUAUUAAGUUUGCCCAAAGAGAGUUAUGUCUCUCUUACCUAACUAUCUAAGUAGGUGUUCAGGUUAGCAAGGUCAACCAUCUAACACAUGGUAAUUCUGGGACUCAAGUUAAUGAUGUGGCUUUACCAUCUUCAACACUUCACUGUCGAAUUUGUCCUAGAAGCCAUUGAUACCCCAUUUACCUGGACAAGAGAAUGAGCACAGAGGCAUAGAAGUGGGAAAUUGUUACCAGGGAGAGACCCAGAAGUUUCACUCAUGUGUUCACUCCAUUGGCUAGAACUCAGUUUCCUAGACAAAGCCAAUUGCAUUGAAGGCUUUGGAAAAUACAGUUAUUUUUUUCAAAAAGAUACUUAUAUGAACAUAUAGGUUUAUUAUUAUUAUAUUUUGAAUCAGUAUACAUUUUUAAAAAUUUUUUGAUUUAAAUUUUAAUACACUAAGUAUCAAGAGAUAAAGUCCACAAAAACAAAAGCCCAGCUGGGCAUCUAGGAAGAAACAAAGAUUAAUCUUUAAGAAAAGUUAGAUGUCUGUUCUUAGGAGUUCCUGUCAUGGUGCAGUGGAAAUGCAUCUGACUAGGAACCAUGAGGUUGCAGGCCUCACUCACUGGGUUCAGGAUCCGGCAUUGCCGUGAGCUGUGGUAUAGGUUGCAGAUGUGGCUUGGAUCUGGUAUUGCUGUGGCUCUGGGAUAGGCUGGUGGCUACAGCUCUGAUUAGAUCCCUAGCCUGGGAACCUCCAUAUGCUACAGGUGUGGCCCUAAAAGGACAAAAUAAAUACAUAAAAAAUAAAAACUACCAACUUUAGAAUAUUUUUGAGGGAGCUUGUACAAAAGUGCUUAAAAGUAGAUAGGUAUAAAUUUAUCAAAUAACUAUGUGUAUGAUUUUUAAAAAGCCCAUAACCCAAAGAAUGUUAAAUCCAUCUGCUAGAGGAGUUUAAUAUUUAAAAAUAGAUAUAAAACUUGAAAUAACUUUAAUGGUAAUAUAAAAACAUGUGUAUUUUGGACAAGGGAGAUUAUGUAAACUGGGUCAAUUUUUAGUUAUUGCUUUCACGGAAGCUCUUGAGUUGAAAGCUCUUUAAAGAGACUCACAAAAUAUCUAAUUGCUAUUUCUUUGCUUUGGAAUUCCAUCACCUCUUCUGAUAUCCUUCUUGAGGCACUUACCUGACCUUCAUGUAUUGGAAAAGUUUCUUAUUUACCUCCCUUAUUAGCUCUUAGCUCUUAUUAGUUCCAUGAAAACCAGAUUUUUAUCUUAUUCUACCUGUAUGUCUUAAUCUUAUCAUGAUGUUUGGUUCAGUGUAAGCCCUUAGGGUAGAUAUUUAUUGAAUGGAUAACGCUUCCCUUCCAUAAGAGAAAUCACAUGAAAGAAAAAGAAAAGGUCAUUACAAAGGAGAAGUUAAGACUUUGUGCUCAAAGAACAUUCGUGAAGUUUAAAAUAUAGGCUGGUAAGAAACUAGAGCAUAGUGAUAAUGUAGGAACACAAGAAGCACGUCAUCCUUCUUCUAUGUUGGAAGAGACUUUACUGUGAAAGAUCAUAAAACUAACCAAGGGUAUAAGGAAAGAUGGAGAAGAAAAGAAAAAUGACUCACAUCCUAAAGUCAGUAAUGGUUGAGGGAGUUUCUAGUGAUAGGAUAAAAAUGGAGAGAAGCUAAGAUAAGACGGUAUCCAUCUUAAGAUAUGACAAGUUACUGAGAAAUUGUAAUGGAAUAAUGGUUGAAAAUUUACAACCUAAAUAUUUGUUGAAUGAGCAGAUGGUGGGCAAAUGCAUAGAUGAUGAAAUACCACCUUUCACUUUGUUACUUGACCCUCAAGGCCACUGGUGCCAGAGGAAAUUCAAUUUUCACUUCAGGUGAGCAGAUUAAAGGAAUGGUUGUUCAAAGGUUAGAAACUUUGGAGGGCUUAUUCUAAAUAAAGCAGGAAUGCCAUUGAACUUAUUGGUCCAGGAGUUGGAUGCAUAGAGAGAGAGUUGAAUUGAUCUGACCUGACGUGGAGUGAGGAGAUAUUAUGAGAAAAAGUAGCAAAGGGUUUUAUAAAGAGUAGAAUUGUAGAAACUGUUUAGAGAUGUUAGCAUUAUGAGGAUAGAAAAAUUCAGUUUAUUAAGUGUUUCUAGAAUGAACUAUUAUCGUUUUCCAUUUGGAGGGACUGGUGUGAUGAUACAGACAUGUCUAAGUUUGCAUCUUAAAUACUAAGUUACAGAUGUUCCCUUGUGGUAUAGCAAGUGAAGGAUGGGGCAUUGCUGCAGCUGUGACACAGGCUGUAAUUGUGGUGCAGAUUCAGUCCUGGCCCAAGAACUUCCACAAGCCAUAGAUGAG